GCUGGCGGCGUGCUUAACACAUGCAAGUCGAACGGAAAGGCCCUGCUUUUGUGGGGUGCUCGAGUGGCGAACGGGUGAGUAACACGUGAGUAACCUGCCCUUGACUUUGGGAUAACUUCAGGAAACUGGGGCUAAUACCGGAUAGGAGCUCCUGCUGCAUGGUGGGGGUUGGAAAGUUUCGGCGGUUGGGGAUGGACUCGCGGCUUAUCAGCUUGUUGGUGGGGUAGUGGCUUACCAAGGCUUUGACGGGUAGCCGGCCUGAGAGGGUGACCGGCCACAUUGGGACUGAGAUACGGCCCAGACUCCUACGGGAGGCAGCAGUGGGGAAUAUUGCACAAUGGGCGGAAGCCUGAUGCAGCAACGCCGCGUGCGGGAUGACGGCCUUCGGGUUGUAAACCGCUUUCGCCUGUGACGAAGCGUGAGUGACGGUAAUGGGUAAAGAAGCACCGGCUAACUACGUGCCAGCAGCCGCGGUGAUACGUAGGGUGCGAGCGUUGUCCGGAUUUAUUGGGCGUAAAGGGCUCGUAGGUGGUUGAUCGCGUCGGAAGUGUAAUCUUGGGGCUUAACCCUGAGCGUGCUUUCGAUACGGGUUGACUUGAGGAAGGUAGGGGAGAAUGGAAUUCCUGGUGGAGCGGUGGAAUGCGCAGACAUCAGGAGGAACACCAGUGGCGAAGGCGGUUCUCUGGGCCUUUCCUGACGCUGAGGAGCGAAAGCGUGGGGAGCGAACAGGCUUAGAUACCCUGGUAGUCCACGCUGUAAACGGUGGGUACUAGGUGUGGGGUCCAUUCCACGGGUUCCGUGCCGUAGCUAACGCUUUAAGUACCCCGCCUGGGGAGUACGGCCGCAAGGCUAAAACUCAAAGGAAUUGACGGGGCCCCGCACAAGCGGCGGAGCAUGCGGAUUAAUUCGAUGCAACGCGUAGAACCUUACCUGGGUUUGACAUGGAUCGGGAGUGCUCAGAGAUGGGUGUGCCUCUUUUGGGGUCGGUUCACAGGUGGUGCAUGGCUGUCGUCAGCUCGUGUCGUGAGAUGUUGGGUUAAGUCCCGCAACGAGCGCAACCCUUGUUCACUGUUGCCAGCACGUUAUGGUGGGGACUCAGUGGAGACCGCCGGGGUCAACUCGGAGGAAGGUGGGGAUGACGUCAAGUCAUCAUGCCCCUUAUGUCCAGGGCUUCACGCAUGCUACAAUGGCUGGUACAGAGAGUGGCGAGCCUGUGAGGGUGAGCGAAUCUCGGAAAGCCGGUCUCAGUUCGGAUUGGGGUCUGCAACUCGACCUCAUGAAGUCGGAGUCGCUAGUAAUCGCAGAUCAGCAACGCUGCGGUGAAUACGUUCCCGGGGCUUGUACACACCGCCCGUCAAGUCAUGAAAGUUGGUAACACCCGAAGCCGGUGGCCUAACCGUUGUGGGGGAGCCGUCGAAGGUGGGACUGGUGAUUAGGACU
rnacentral:rRNA from 1 species